GCCAAUGACGCCACACCCAACAUUUGCAGGUGCAGAUAGCUCUAGGAUCCUGUUUACAGGAUGAACCUACCUGGAGGCGCUGUAUCCACAUGACAUUCAUGGGCAAGUCUGAGGU
rnacentral:snoRNA from 2 species